GAUGAACGCUGGCGGCGUGCCUAAUACAUGCAAGUCGAGCGAACAGACGAGAAGCUUGCUUCUCUGAUGUUAGCGGCGGACGGGUGAGUAACACGUGGAUAACCUACCUAUAAGACUGGGAUAACUUCGGGAAACCGGAGCUAAUACCGGAUAAUAUUUUGAACCGCAUGGUUCAAAAGUGAAAGACGGUCUUGCUGUCACUUAUAGAUGGAUCCGCGCUGCAUUAGCUAGUUGGUAAGGUAACGGCUUACCAAGGCAACGAUGCAUAGCCGACCUGAGAGAGUGAUCGGCCACACUGGAACUGAGACACGGUCCAGACUCCUACGGGAGGCAGCAGUAGCGAAUCUUCCGCAAUGGGCGAAAGCCUGACGGAGCAACGCCGCGUGAGUUAUGAAGGUCUUCGGAUCGUAAAAAUCUGUUACUAGAGAAGAACAUAUGUGUAAGUAACUGUGCACGUCUUGACGGUACCUAAUCAGAAAGCCACGGCUAACUACGUG
rnacentral:rRNA from 1 species